GAAGGAGAACGGAGGAGGAGAAAACCACCUGAUAACGUGGCCUCUAAAAAAACGACCUGACUGAGAAGUGUGUGUUUCAAGUCUUUAUAAAAGUCAGUAACUUCCUGUAUGCUGUUAUGUUAGCAUUCUGGGGCAUACACAAUACAUGAAAUAUCCCAGUUAUUGUAAAUGUCAGAAAAGGUGUGAGUCAUUGGAUCUUUUAUCUUAUCAUUAACUUUCCUGCGCUUAGUCUACUGCAUGCCUUGAUGUUAGACUGCUGAUGUUGAGGCACACCGAGUUGUUAAAUUUCCUUGGGUAUUUGACAAGUACACACCUGCCUCAACAUGGUGAUACACUUCCCGCUAGACUGUUGAGCAAGGUCCUGCAGAGAGAGGGUUCCUGGUUUCAAGUGUCUCUCCCUGGCUCCCGGGCAUACAUGGAGGCAUUAGAGGCACUCGGGCUGGAUAACAGAUAUAUGGUUCCCGUGGAUUUUAUUCACGUUUAGAAAUAGUUUUUAUUUCCACUAAUCUACCGGUUACCCCUUCUUUGAGUCCAUUGUCCCAUAGUUCACUUUAGCUGGAGAGGACACAGCCAUUGUGUGGGUGAUGGAACUUGGCGGGUCGGUGUUUCUUUCAUCUGCUUGUUGUCUGUCCUUACGGUUGCUGGCCACUUCUCCCAUGUGGGAAGCAAGGCGGGGGUGUGUCAUCAACCCCUGUUCUGUGCUAACCGGACAGUGGAGUUUGGGAUUCCUUUUUAUGUACAAAAUUCUGACCAGAAUUCCCUCUCGUCUAUAGUCUCUCACUCAGUCCUCUGCCCAAAUAUAUAUGUUUCACCUUUGAAGUUUUCUAUAUUGUAGUCUAGGUAGUUAGCACAAGACUUUCCUUCUAAUAUUGUUUUUCCUGAGGCAGGGCUUCUCUGUGUAGCACUGGCUGUCCUGGAGCUCGCUCUGUAGACCAGGCUGGGGAUCAGUCACCUUCUGAUUCCUGUUAACUAACUUCUGUCCUCAGCCCUCAGCUCCCCUCACCUCUCCACAGUGUUCCCGGCAGCCAUUCCUCACUUUCUACCAAGCAUAUAGUAAUCAAAACCCAAUUCCUGCCGUUACUGACCAACCCAGACACUAGCAAGGCAGAGAGGUCAAUCAGCCAGGAUUCCGUCCUUGGGGGUUUGCAUCGCAGGUCAAAGAAGACGCAGGAGCACGAGACUCCUGAGAAAUGUGUUAGAAGCCGCGAUUCAGGUUCAUGGCGUGUCUGGAGGCUGAGAGGAGUGUUUGAAAGAUUCCUUUUGGAGAGUCUUCCUCUGCCUCGUCGUUGAAAGGCAGUUUUGCCAGGUGGAAUCCUCUCUAGCAUCUUGUACAGAUGUCCCUCCACGGUAGGUUCCUUUAUCUGAGAUAGGCGUUUGCUGUGUAGCCCUGGCUGGCUUAGAACUCACUGUGUAGACCAGGCUGGCCUCCGACUUGCCUCUGCUUUCCCAGUGCUGAGAUUACAGGCAGAUGUGCCACUCUGUUGAAAAUUGGUGGUCAUUUGUUUUGAAUGUGUCUUUCUUUAAUUGACAUGCCAUAGCUUUCGAGUGUGUAGCUGUGGUGUUGUCAGUGGGUGUAACCACCACUCUAGCCAGACUCUCUGUGUCUUUGGCAUCAGCACCUCUUCCCCAACAGGGACUCCAGCUAGCCAUAGCCGUAUGCCAAACAGCGAGACCCUGCUCCACAGAUCCUCUGCUUUCCCCAGCUAAUAUUUUAGCUUUGAGUUCAUCUGUUUUUAAGUUUCUCCAUAUUGUACCUACUAUGUUGACCUGUUUAUUGAUUUUCAGCACUCAUAUAGAGGCCCACAGCUGGCACUCCAGUGCCAGGGAAUCUGAUGCCCUCUUCUGGCCUCUAAGGGUACCGUAUGUUGUACAUAGACAUGUGUGCUGGGCAAAGCAUCCAUACACAUUACAAAAACCAACCAACCAACCACUCAUACACAUUACAGAAACAAGCAAGCAAGCAAAGAAAACAAACACAAAACAAAUAAACAACCCCAAAACUGGAACAUUUAAAACAAACCACCUACAGAAAACCAAUCUUGUCAUCAUUUGCCCUUUUUCCUAGCGUGUACAUCUCUGUUGAAGUUCUCUAUGUAUUCGGGUACGCUGCCCGAGUUCCACUCCAUCCUGUGAAUCAGUCAGGUUACAGUUUGAGUCACCACUUAAUGUCCCUUUUGAUGAUGGAACUCCUGGUAGGUCAUUUCUGGAUCUAGCUUGGUGGUGUCAGCACUUGACUGCGGGUGGUUUUCACCCUUUGGUUAUCUCAUAACUUUAUCAUAGCAAGGACUGAGAUAGUUUUUUCUUAAUUAAUUAAUUACAUUUAUUUAUUUAUUUAUUUAUUUAUUGUGUGUGUGUGUGUGUGUGUGUGUGUGUAUGGGUAGGUGUGUGCCGUGGAGCACUUGUGGAAGUCAGAAGGUAGUUUUCUGUAUUUGUUCUCCCUGUGUGGGUUCUGGGGAUUGAACUCGGGCUGUCAGGCUUGGCAGCAGGCGCCUUAAUCUGCUGAGGCAUCCCAGUGGCUGAGAUAGUAGUUCUUUUUGUUACUCUUUGUUUGUUUCUGGAGGCAAGAUUCACCUGAUGUUCAUGUGGCAUUUUACUGUCUACAGAACUAAGGAUGGCCCUGAACUUUUUUCUUCUGUCUCUUGAGCGCUAUGCUUAUAGGUGUGCACCGCCGCCAUGCCUGGUUUCUGUGCUCCUGGGACUGAGCCCAGCGUUUUGUGCAUGAUCGACAGUCACUGCCCAAAGGAGCUACACCGCCAAGCUAGCUGCUCCCUGGCCUUAAUUUUAAAAGAGAAGACCAGGUCUGUUCAGUCUGUGGUUCUGGGUAGCUACGAGUGUGGCCCAACCUAAAAGUCCGUCAGUACGCCAUUGUGACUGUGACUUCUAUUACUAUUGCUUCUGUCUGUCUCAUCAUUUGGUGGCAUGGCUCUCGUAGGUGAGCUUGGCAGAUAGCAGCAUGUGGGAGUGCUAAAGGCUGAACCUGCUUAUGCUGUGGAUGUGACUCCAUGUAUCUGUCACGCGGUUGGUGGAGGAGGGCUGAGUUUAGUUAGUAACUACCAGCUUCUCCAGGGCCAGCUACUCCUCAGGCUGAGUAUGGGACGUGCUUCUAUUUGUCUACGUUGAGCUUACGUUGCUUUACCUGAGUGUUGUCAGAUGAAAGUUAAAAAGUUGGACGAAGUCUAACUUUAUAAUUUUUAUCUUUUAUGUCUAACCAGCAGCUGUUGAAUGUUUUAUAGAAUCCUGGGGAACUGCACAGACACAGGAACUGCACAGAUAGACACUCCUGUGGGGGCCACAGACACGGAGAGCGGCCACCCACUUACGGGGACUGUUAAGCUCAGUGUGGAUUGCCUACUGCUGGUGCUCCCUCGUCCUCUUUUCUCUGACUUCUUCCUCACUUAGAAUAGCAUUCUUCGGAGUUCAUGCUUUGCCUGCAUAAAUCGGCCUCAAGCCUCUGCUGCUGCUGCCCCCAGCUCCCUUUUAAAGCAAGGAGGAAGAUGAUUUAUGCUGGUCCUUAAGUGUCGUUCUGUGAAGAUACUGCGGUCCCAAGCCUGGGAAUGGCACAGAGUCCCACACACCGUUCAGCCAAAUACCAAAUAGGUCAAGUGAAGUUUUCCACUAAUGCCCUCAGUGCUCACAGGGCAGGGUCAGUGCCACUGUGACCACGGCUUUUACUCUGUGCUUUUUAUUUCAUCAUAGGUCAUCCAUAGAAUCAUCCCUCGGAAGUUUAGUCUAAAUAUUUUCUUUUUCUUUAUUGAUCAUUUUUUUCUUAAUUACAUGUAUUCAAUUAUUAUUAUUAUUAUUAUUAUUAUUAUUAUUGUGGUGAUGGUGGUGGUUUGUGUUGAGGCUUCCUCCUAGUUUGGCUCAGAGAGGCGUGCUUUGUAUGAGCUACCAUUAUGUAUUCUACCACAUCAUACGCCUCCCCCUCCUCUUCCUCCUUUCUCUUUCUACCGUGUAGUCUCUGCAGUCUUCGUUCAUGCCUUCUUCCUAAUGAUGCCAUCCUAAUUAGAGGUUGUAUUGAUCAUCCUUUUUAUGUGUAUUAUACUUGCCAGACAGGGUGCUGAUUGGACACUUUCACCUGAUGCCUCACAGAGAAGCACAGAGCAGACUCUGACAUUUGCUGUGUGUUAUAAAGAGCACACAUGUAGUGCUUUAUGUCUGUUAAAGUGCUCUGUUUUUUUUUCCUGACCUCCAGGGGGCACUGCCCCCUUUUCUCUCUCAGCUUAUCUUAUAACGCCUUCUUUCCUGUAUUUUGUUUUAAAUUAAACAUUUGCUUAUUUUUUUAUUGUAUAUGUAUGGGUGUUUUGCUUGCAUAUAUGCCUGUACCAUAUCCGUGCAAUGCUCUUGGAUACUAGAAUGUCCUGGAACUAGAGUUACAGACAGUUGUUAGCUGCCAUUAUAACAUUGGGUGCUGGGAUUCAAACCCAGGUCCUUUGGAAAAACAGCCAGUGCUCUCAACCAGAGAGCUCCCCCCCCCCCCCCCCCCCAGUUUCUGUGCCGUCUUUAUAAGAGAUCUUCGCACUCAGUUCUUUUUGUGUGCUGUCUCAUUUCACCCACACAGUAUCUUGGUAGUACUUCACAGAAAUUACGAGAUUUGCUUAUGGCUGUGUUGGCUUACGCAUCUGGGGAUUUCAUGGUGAUUUUAAUGUAUCUCUGUCCUUAUUUUUAGGAGUCUUCUCAUUACACUUAAAACUAAUCAUUACACUAUGUCUACAAAAGUUAUCUGGUUGUAUGAGUUUAGGACAGAAGUUUCCUCAUGAAGACUGUUUUUUAUCAUAAAGUAGGGUGACCACAGAGAAGAAAUCCUAAUGCCCUGUUACUAUAAUUAUGCCCUCUUGGCGUCAGCCUUGUUUGGGGAGAAAGACCUCUGCUGUGGGUGGUGAAUCUUGUUGCCUGGAGAACGCUCAGAGCCAUGUGUGGUGCACACUGCAGCAAACACUGGGAUGCGGCAGCCAGCCAAGCAGUACUGUCACUUUAUGGACCUGCAUGUUUGGUCUCCGCUACUCUUAUUUAGUUUAUAGUGUGUAGACAAGAUAGCCAUGUUUAAAUUAGUUUAUGUUUCUUCUUUUGUAGCAUGGUAUAAAACUUAAAAUUACUAUCAGAGGAAGAUACAGAUGGGCAAAACUACAUCUGUUGUGACAUGAAUUCUCUUUGAUUGCUUCCUAGUAAAGUUGAAUCUCAAGGAAGCCUUAGGGCACAUGGAGAAGGCAGUGAACAGCUGGCAGGUCACACUUCUUAGUUGGUGGGACGCACACUGCUUUCCCAUGGACAGGCCAGUUUGGUACAAUGCACACCCUGUCCAACCAUCCAGCCAGGUAUAGUACAUGCAGCUCACCUCAGGAUUACUGCAGAGAAGUUGGCGAGAUUUUUCCAGAGGUGCUUAGGGGAGGACGCAUAGUGGGAUCUCAAAUAGACGGAGGGUGGAGGGGCUGAGCAGGUGGGGUACAGCAGUGACUCAGAGCAGAGUAGUCAACCCGAACAGUUCACAAUAGGCUCAACACCUGUAACAUCACCGUUUUACUGAGGAGAAGCAGGGUCAGGUUUGUGAUGUAGUCUCAGAAUAGUUGGGUCAGGUGGGCUCGGUGUUGUCACAGGGUGGAUGCUGCAGCCCACACUUGGGUCUUUCUAGUGGGUCAUCAUUUCUAAAUUCUGUAUUACUCCCAGAGAUGUUUUAGCACCUCUGCAUGAAGAGCGGCCCAGAAGCCUUUGAACUCCAUCGUUUAGGGGGUACUUACGGAGGCUUCCUGUAGGCGGUGACUAGUGGAGUAGGCUAGAGGUGAGGCUGCAAGAUAAACAAGAUUACCUGCCUGCAGACAAGGUAAUCCUUCUGCUGACAAAACCCAAUCCUGAAGCUGUCCAGGAGACACCAACCAUGAAUUUCUCCAUAUGAAAGAUGUUACCACUUAGGAGAUUCAAAGCUCAUAGUUCUGUGCUAGGACCUGGGGACAAAUAUGAAAUCUGAAUAUUGAAUGAAAUAUGACUCUUUGAUCCCCUUUCACAUCCCUUGGUGGUUGAUUCCUGAGUGCAGACGGGAUUUCAUUGAUCUUACAAAGACUGAAGACUAUUAGAGUCCUUUAAAGGCACUCUAGAGAAAAUCAAGGAUAAUACUGCCUGACUUGGGAAAAAAACUCACACAGUGAAAGAAACUUCUCAAGUUUGAAUCUAGAUGAUGAGAAAUGUUCUAUAAUAUGGGAAGUAAGGUCUUUGUGGGCCAUUUCUGUUUAUAGGUUUAUUUGUGUGUUGUGUGUGUAUGUGUGUGUGUGUUUGCUGCCCAGCACGAAUGCCCAGAAACUGACCUUGCGUCCUCUAAGAGCAGCAAGCAUUAUUAACUACUGAGGGAUGUACCUGUGAGUUUUACUAUUUAUUUAUUUUUAAGAUAAAGUCUUCCUGGCUGACCUCGAACUUGCUAUGUAGACUAGGUUGGCCUUGAACUUGAAGAGACCUGCUUGCCUCUGUCUCCAGAGUGCUAUGAUGAAAGGUGUGGAUUUUUAAGGGCUAAGUGGGGAGGCUUUCAAGGUCUUUUCGACACCGUUGUCUUAGGCUGCACGGAUCAUUAACGUGGAUGGCAGAUAGGCUUGCACAGGUGGGCAGGUAGGCUUGCACAGGUGGGCAGAUAGGCUUGCACAGGUGGGCAGGUAGGCUUGCACAGGUGGGCAGGUAGGCUUGCACAGGUGGGCAGGUAGGCUUGCACAGGUGAUUUUGUGCAGGGCUGCUGGCUGUGCGGCAGCAGUCGCCUGCGCAGGCAGCUCAUGUUAUCACAUAUGCAGGAGCUCCUUUUCUUUGUUGGAAUCCUAAUAAGAUGCUCUUUAUAAUGACAACUUCAUUUCUGAAAUAAACUAAGGGUCAGUUCUUAGGGGCUUUGCUUGUUUUUCCUCACAGCUGCCAAUGCUCUUACCUCUGGUUUCGUCGGAGUCUCCCAAGAGUUCCAGUCAGUUCUGAUCCUUCCUGGAUCACAGGUUAAGGCCCAGUCUCAGAACAUUGCUUGUCGAGAGAGGAGUCAUGAGUGCAGUUGUCGAAGUCACCCACUCUCUGCCAGCUGCUUAUAUAACCUGGGGUGCCUCUCUUCAUGCUCUGUAAUUGGUCAGAAUGACUCGGGAGAGUAUUGAUUGUUGCUAAUUGGUUUAUUAUCAAUUCAGGAAGAGCUUUAUGGACGGGAUGUAUAGGGUAGUGUGGGGCAUAGUGAACCAAGUUUCCAUGCCUUCUUUUGGCUCUCUGUUUUAGCACCCCUGCAUAUAGAGCGGCCCAGAAGCCUUUGAACUCUAUCGUUUAGGGGGUACUCAUGGAGGCUUCCUCUGGGCAGUGACUAGUGGAGUAGGCUAGAGGUGAGGCUGCAAGAUACCAGCCUGCGAACAAGGUAAUCGUUCUGCUGACAAAACCCAAUCCUGAAGCUGUCCAGGAGACAUCAACCAUGAAUUUCUCCAUAUGAAAGAUGUUACCACUUAGGGGAUUCAAAGCUCAUAGUUCUGUGCUAGGACCUGGGGACAAAGACCAAAUAUAUAAUGGGUUUUGCACUAUGCUGUGGCUUUGGGUAGAGAGAAGAAGCGAGCACCUCCUGGGACUUUUGAGAGAAUGAAGGAGCUUAAAAGGCUGUGCCCAUGGGAACAGUAGUGGCAGAUUUUGUUUUUGUUUUUAAAAUUACCACUGUUCUGGGGAGACUCUCCUUAAAAUGGCUUCUACCUGUUUUAUUUUAUUUUCAGUUUUCUGAGACAGAGUUCUUCUGUGCAGCUCUGCUGUCCAGCUCUGGCUGUCCUGGAACUCAUUCUGUAGACCAGGCUGGCCUCGAACUCUCAGAGAUCCUCCAGCCUGUGCCUCCAGAGAGCGGGGAUUAAAGAGACCAGAAGGCGGCAUCGGAUCCCCUGAAACUGCAGCUACAGAUGGCUGUGACCCGCCAUGUGGAUGCUGCGGAUUGAAUCCAGAUCCUGUGGAAGAGCAGCCAGGGCUCUGAGCCGCCGAGCCGGCUCUCCAGCCCUGUGUCUGCACUUUUAAGGUUCACUUUGUACUUCUGUUAAGUAGUUGCCUCGGCUCUACACAGACUUUGUAGGGCUCGCCUCCACGGAGCAGGUGCUUGGUGCUCCCCUGGAGUGCUCCCCAGUGCUCAGGAGCAGGUGCUUGGUGCUCCCCUGGAGUGCUCCCCAGUGCUCAGGAGCAGGUGUUUGGUGCUCCCCUGGAGUGCUCCCCCUUGCUCAUGGUGUUUGUAUUCAUUCCAGAAGCAUUUGCUUCAUCUUUUCAGAAGAAAACGGAAGCAAACUCUUUUUUGUUUUUAAAGAUUUAUUUAUUAUUAUACAUAAGGACACUGUCGCUGACUUCAUACGCACCAGCAGAGGGCGUCAGAUCUCAUUACAGACGGUUGUGAGCCACCACGUGGUUGCUGGGAUUUGAACUCAGGACCUUUAGAAGAGUAGUCAGUGCUCUUACCCACCGAGCCAUCUCUCCAGCAGAAGCAAACUCUUGAUCUUAUAUUUAGCAUUGGUUCUCCUCCAGAAGAAAUGUAUAUAUACCACAUUGUAAGGCUAAAAUCCAUUUAAAAUAUCGUUAGAUAUGAACCUGCAAAGGGAAGAAUUUUGUUGAAUGCAUGUGAUGAAAAAUUACUUCGGUCGAAAAAUAAAAAUAUUUUCCGGCGGCUUGAUUUUGAAAACAUAACUAUCGCCUCCAUGUUGACAUUUGAAGGCACAUAUGACUAAACUCGCGUAUGUAUGUAUGAAGCACAGUGCUUGCGACUGAAUUCCUUUCUGAGAUCGUUUGGAGUCACUGGUGUUAUCUCUGCCUCUCCCUAGUCACCUUGGAGACACGCAGCUUUCUCCACAGAUCAUUUGUGUGUCUGUGGGCUGAUGUGGUCUGGUCGAAGGAGCCUUUUAGUUGUAGCAACACUGGCUCCUUUGCAAGAUCUUGCUGUGCUCAGGCAAGCAGAGUCAGGUGACCCUCCGUUGUGUUUCUGAAGAGACAGGGCUUGCCCCUAUUUGAGGAAAGAGUACUACUCCAACAGCUUCAGCCAUGGGCUUGGAACAUCGCAGUGGGCCGGCCCUACUGCCGUGAGUCAUUGGUUUUUGGGAGCUGCAUCUUGGCAGAGGAAACCAGCUAGAAAUUAGAAUACUUAUUAGAUACGCAUUGUAUCAGAUGGAGUUGGAAGGACGCUUACUAAGUGCCUCUCUUCUGACCUCUCUAGAUUGUUGACAGCUAUCCACCAAUAAAUGUGGGAGAAGGGAGAGUUUCAGUAACCCCCCGCCCCAGGUGCCCUCCCCAACCCUUCCACCGUGUAAUACAGCAAAGAAAUGGCAAAACAAGCAACUGGAGAGUGGCUCUUCCCAGGGUGGGGCUGAGACUGGCUUUGUGGACACCCCACGGCAUUUCUUCCCACACCGUAUACUCUGAUCUUCCAAGUGCCAAGAGCUCCAAGGCCAUGGCAGAGGAGGGAGGCUCUCUGUACGCGCACUGUAAGAGGGCUUGAAGAAGUAGGUUUACAGCUGUUCAUAUCUCAUCAAGAGAACUUUUCCAGGCCAAACGGAAGUGCUGACAAGCUUUUUUGUGAAGAACAUUAUCAGUGCGCUGAAAGAUUUUACAUAAACUAGAAACCCUUAGACUUAUUAAUGCUUAACAGAAUUUAUUUUUGAAAAUAAAUUAUAACAAGGCAUUUGGUAAAGUUUCAUAGCUUAGUUUUUAAUGGGGGAAAUCUAAAGGAUAAUUUUGGAGUUGGAGUUCCAACUCUAACACCUAUCAAUUGAUUUUUUUUUUUUUUUGGCCUUGGAGAAAUGACUUUAUUUCUGGCAUCAUUUUUAAAUUAGUCAUUAGAAAUAGUACCUGCUUUGGAGGUUACUGUGAAUUCUGUGAGCGAAUGGACUGACGUGAGGAGCUAAAGCCAGACCCUAGCAUGUACAGACACAGGGAGUAUCGCCAUCACCAUCUCAUUUAUUACCGGUGUGCUAAGUGCGCUGGAAGGCGUACAGUGUGCAUUUGCUAAUGUCUCCAGCCUUAGAGCCCUCAUUUGUAGAGGGGCAGACAGUGAUGGCUUCUCACGCCUUGAUAGGCAGGUCUCAGGACAAAUGAACAAGUCUAUGGGAAGCCUUUAGGGCAGUAUGUAUCCCUGUAAAGGCUAGCGUCUCAGUUCAGACACCAUGCCACCUCGUUCUCACAACAGCCCUAGAGAGCGUGUGUCUGAUCUUUUUUAAGUGGUUGGGGAAUAGAGGCACCGUGUGGUGAGGAAGCCCGCUCCAGGCUGUGGAUUUAGAAUUGGGGCACAGAUCGCAGAUUCUUAGGUAAAGAAUGUUCAUAUCUUCUUUUCUUCUGUCACUACAGUAGCAGUAAGAACAUAGGAAUAACUGACGUAUAGUGUCCUGCUACCUUCCAUCUCCUUUUGGUUUGAAAAUGUGUCCCUUAUAUUUCGUGACGAGUUUUCUGACUUCUGUGUCCUUUCUGUGAACUUGACGGUAAUUGUCUUUACAGAAGCCUAAUGAGUACCUGGCCUUUUAUGUAAUUGAUACUUUCAGCGUUCAUUUCUCAGUGGAGAGGAUUUUGGUUCUUUUAUGUUGCAGCUGCCAAUUACAUGUAUGGCUUAAUGUGACUUUGGGGCCUUGCCUAUCCAGCUGAACAUGUGGGGUGUGUUCAGCUGGUUGAGGUGGAUCCUGCUGUCCCUCAGGGACAGGGGUUUCUGGACUUUCACAGGCUUGGUAGAGACUGACAACAGGCCAUUCACCCUGUAAUGCGCCCAUGGCAGAGAGCAGUUAAAUAGUGUACUAGGCAAGUGACAUGGGAGGAUUUAGGGUGUUUCACUGUGCCCACUCCCAGCUCCUGCCAACACACCUUUCUCACUGAAAGUCCACGUGGAGAGCAGAGCCUACGCUGCCUAUCUGCCUUUAAAGAAGGAUCGUCUACUUUUCCUGCUGUGUGUGAUUUCCCUUCUGAGAUACAUUCUCGAAGUCAGGCAUUCCGUAUAAACCGCUGACCUGAAGCUUCUCCCCCGCCCCUGGACACUGACAAACACACACACCGACACACACCCCGACACACCCCGACACACCCUGACACACACACACACACACACAC